rnacentral:rRNA from 1 species
GACGCAACGCGAAGAACCUUACCUACUCUUGACAUCUAGCGAAGAUUGUAGAGAUACGAUUGUGCCUUCGGGAACGCUAAGACAGGUGCUGCAUGGCUGUCGUCAGCUCGUGUUGUGAAAUGUUGGGUUAAGUCCCGCAACGAGCGCAACCCUUAUCCUUAGUUGCCAGCACGUAAUGGUGGGAACUCUAGGGAGACUGCCGGUGAUAAACCGGAGGUAAGGUGGGGACGACGUCAAGUCAUCAUGGCCCUUACGGCCUGGGCUACACACCGUG